CGGACGGGUGAGUAACACGUGGAUAACCUACCUAUAAGACUGGGAUAACUUCGGGAAACCGUAGCUAAUACCGGAUAAUAUAUUGAACCGCAUGGUUCAAUAGUGAAAGACGGUUUUGCUGUCACUUAUAGAUGGAUCCGCGCCGCAUUAGCUAGUUGGUAAGGUAACGGCUUACCAAGGCAACGAUGCGUAGCCGACCUGAGAGGGUGAUCGGCCACACUGGAACUGAGACACGGUCCAG
rnacentral:rRNA from 1 species